rnacentral:rRNA from 1 species
CUACGGGUGGCAGCAGUGGGGAAUAUUGCACAAUGGGCGCAAGCCUGAUGCAGCCAUGCCGCGUGUAUGAAGAAGGCCUUCGGGUUGUAAAGUACUUUCAGCGGGGAGGAAGGGAGUAAAGUUAAUACCUUUGCUCAUUGACGUUACCCGCAGAAGAAGCACCGGCUAACUCCGUGCCAGCAGCCGCGGUAAUACGGAGGGUGCAAGCGUUAAUCGGAAUUACUGGGCGUAAAGCCCACGCAGGCGGUUUGUUAAGUCAGAUGUGAAAUCCCCGGGCUCAACCUGGGAACUGCAUCUGAUACUGGCAAGCUUGAGUCUCGUAGAGGGGGGUAGAAUUCCAGGUGUAGCGGUGAUAUGCGUAGAGAUCUGGAGGAAUACCGGUGGCGAAGGCGGCCCCCUGGACGAAGACUGACGCUCAGGUGCGAAAGCGUGGGGAGCAAACAGGAUUAGAUACCCGCGUAGUC